UCUUCUUCCUUCUCUUCUCUUUCUUUUCCUUCGGUUCCGGCAUAAUGACCAGGAAUCCGACCCAGGGAGCUCGGUCGGGGAACCCGACCGACGACUCCCGAUCGGCUCCGGAAGAUGAGGCCUCCUCGCUUUCGGGGCCGAACGUCGAUCGGCUUCGGGAGCACUAUCGCAUCCCGAAGCAGUUUCGGCUCUCUGCUCCAGGGGCCGGCGGUCGGGUCAACAACCCCCC
rnacentral:lncRNA from 1 species